UUCGCAAUGCCCGAAAGGGAACCUGAACACAGGUGCUGCAUGGCUGUCGUCAGCUCGUGUCGUGAGAUGUUGGGUUAAGUCCCGCAACGAGCGCAACCCUUGUCAUUAAUUGCCAUCAUUCAGUUGGGCACUUUAAUGAGACUGCCGGUGACAAACCGGAGGAAGGUGGGGAUGGCGUCAAGUCCUCAUGGCCCUUAUGGGUAGGGCUUCACACGUCAUACAAUGGUCGGUACAGAGGGUCGCCAACCCGCGAGGGGGAGCCAAUCCCACAAAGCCGAUCGUAGUCCGGAUCGCAAUCUGCAACUCGACUGCGUGAAGUCGGAAUCGCUAGUAAUCGUGGAUCAGCAUGUCACGGUGAAUACGUUCCCGGGUCUUGUACACACCGCCCGUCACACCAUGGGAGUGGGUUCCACCAGAAGUAGGUAGUCUAACCGCAAGGGGGGCGCUUACCA
rnacentral:rRNA from 1 species